UACGGGGGGAGCAAGCGUUGUUCGGAUUUACUGGGCGUAAAGGGCGCGUAGGCGGUCAGCACAAGUCAGUUGUGAAAUCUCCGAGCUUAACUCGGAAAGGUCAACUGAUACUGUGCGACUAGAGUGCAGAAGGGGCGACUGGAAUUCUCGGUGUAGCGGUGAAAUGCGUAGAUAUCGAGAGGAACACCUGCGGCGAAGGCGGGUUGCUGGGCUGACACUGACGCUGAGGCGCGAAAGCUAGGGGAGCGAACAGG
rnacentral:rRNA from 1 species